GGUUGAACUUGAGAUGUUCGAGGUUGGGCAAGAAGAGAAAGGAUGGGGUAGAUGGGGAUAUCGGUGAGAGCGUGUGGAAAAAAAAAAAUGAAAGUUUAAUGUCAAAUAGCUGACAGGUUGUGAAUGGCUUGUGUUUGAUCAUGAAAGAUCAUGAAAGAAACACCAUGUUUUGUAUUGCUACAUUGGCUGGUGAUCAAAAAAGUUAAUUAAGAACCCUGAUCAUAACACCUUUGCCAUGAUUGAUUCAACAUUCCCACUUCCUUUUUUGUCUGCUUAGACUGAAAAGUCUAGACUCUUGGAUGUUGACCUCAGACCACAAAGGGAAAGCACCGUCUGGACUGCAGGGAGAAAACAAAACAACAGCUCAGCUGGUCAGAUGACAGAGAAAAAUUAUGAGAUGAACCAGAAUUUUGUCUGUCCUCCCAGAUCUGAGUAACCAACAUAAACUCUUAGCUGUUGAGUUUGAGGUUUCCAGAAACAGCUGGAUGUUGAAUGUUUCCAGCUGUGUGCUUUUCUUGGUGGUUUGAGCAAGAUGGUUUGAGGUAUUUUGAGGUAGAGAUGAUGGUCAGCACCUCUAAGUAGAGAGAGCAUGACGUGUUUCAGGUCCUAAUAGUAACAUUGCAAGUCCUGGGAUGUCAGCAUUUUGCAUAAUGCACAGUGCAGUUGCCAUGUUGAGCCCUGGUCUGAAGCCCCACUUAAAGUCAUGUGUUUUUGGUUGGGAUCAGGGAAUCAGAUCAGGAAAAGAUGCGAACAGUAAGUUUCAUUCACAGCCUGUAAGAUAAUGGACAGAGCAAAGGCAUGCAGCUGUAGCUUUGAGUUAGGCCACCACUCCUUAGGCUCCAGUUCACUUUGAAAAUGCUGAAGCUUCUCUCAUGUAUCGUCAUCGUACAUAAAGGACUGUGAUUGUGCUGAUACAUCUGCCACUGAUUGGAAAACAUAUAUAGCACUCUAUAUAUAACAUAUAGAGUGACAAUGAACAUGAGUUUGCUAAUGGACUUGACAAUGCCAGGCUAGGUUUUGGUUUCUUAUGAGGACGCCUUCUGCACACCUCCUUUGAGAGUUUUCUGGAAGAAGACUGUAGUGGAGAGAGAGAGCUUGCUGGAAGCGAUCGUACUUCACCUGGACUUGUAAUGCUUCUGGAUCCCCAAAGAGGAGCUGGGAAUAUUUGAUGUCUGGGAAGUCUGGGCUGACUUGCUUGGCCUUGCUUAUCUUGGACCUGGGUCAGGAGAAAUCAGCGCCUCAGAUAUGAGGAGGCCUCUGCAGAUAAUUUAGCUCUUCAACCUUAAAUUUCAAGCUGUGAAGAAACCCUUCAAGUCCCCUCCUGAUAUACUGGGUGUGUUUUUUACUAUAUAAAACCCCAUUAUUGAGUGUAUUGAGUAAAAUAAUAGUACAAGGAUUUUUGCUGUGAAUGAGCUGUUUGAGUUGGUCAUAGUUUUAAAAGCACAUGAUUUGUUGUAGGGUUAAGUUGCUCAUAAAGAAAUCUGUUAAUUAUCUAAGAAGAUAAUUUGUGUGAGAACUCAGAUAGAGAAACUUGAUUACUCUCUGCUCUCUUUCUUUGUCUUUGUGUAUUUGGUUCCUCCUCCUCCUCCUCUCACUCCUGACUUUCAUUUUUCCCUGGUCUUUUGUAACGGCUAUCCUCACCUCAGAGUGCUGCGGCUGCUUUUAAUUACAGCAUCUGUGUUGACAAGGAGGAACAAAGAUGUUAUUAAUGUGAAGUCCAAAGUGGGGUAGAUCCCAGGGCACAAACAUCCCUCAUGUGUGUUUUUCCUGUAACUAAUGUACAGUAGAAACUUGGCUGUGGAUCAGUUUGAGACACAGUGACAUAAUAAUGUGCAUAUGAAUGAACCCAGGUCUCCCAGAGCCCUUGUUUCUUGUAUGUUGUAUAUCCCCUGUACCUUGCUUGUGUUUGUUUUGUUGAGAGACUGCUAAAAGAAGAUCAUUUACUCUGUCUGUGGAAGUUCUGCAGAUAAUUUGUUCUUUGGGUUUCUGACUGAAGAAUUCAGAUAAUAUUUAAGUCAUCAUUGAGCUGUCAGGUCAUCCAUAGUAAAAAUAUUCUUGUGGUUUACCCGGCUGUGUUUUGAUUUUUCAUGGUGAUAUGUUUAUAAUAGUAGAUUUGCUUGGUAAGAAAAUGAACUGUUUUUGCAUUGAGGCUGAGAAAAGCAUCUUUAGGAAGAAAUAAAAUGUCAAGACUCUUAGCAACACGCUGAAGUCUCGGAAGCCAGGUGCAUUGUUGUAAUCUAACCCUACUUGAUUAUGCUUUUAAAAUAUUUAUUUAUUGGGAAGAAAAUCAUGUAAAAAUGUACUUAAUCUAUUUUUUAGCAAUGCCUGAAUGUGUGAAAUUUGUGAGGAAGUAUUGUUUGUAUAAGGAGAUAAGGGCUGCCAUGAUAUCAGAUUUUCACCUCACAGUUAUCAUGGCCCUAAGAUAUCCUGGUAAUGAUAAUAUAUGACAAUAUCAUGGAAAAGUUGAGAAUCACGGCUCAGCUUCGCUCCCGAAUGGCAGGUGGAUCAAAUACGCAAGCAUUUUAAUCAAUGUGUGUAAUUCCAUAGAAUUCGUGUGGCGUCCGGCUCCGCUGCAGAUCAGCUCUGGCUCCGGAUCAGAUAUUGCUGCCAGACGUCAAAGUACUGCGCAUCACUUGAGUGCAGUGCAGCACAAGCAGCAGUGGAACUUGUAUGUGGUUACAGAGUAAAAUAUCUGGUUGAUUUUCAAAAUAAAAUAAAGUCAAUACAUUGAUCUGUUCUUAGCUUGAUAAUAAGAGAGGCCAGGGUUGUGGUAUGUGGGUGUUUAUAUACACCGCCAUUUAUAUACACAGAUCGGUGGAUCUCAUUCUAUGACUCCUGGGGAAACGUGAGAGCUCGUGAGAAAUCGUGAGAUCUCGUCCAGACCUGCGAGAAUUAUCGGUAAUCUCGAAACGCUUCUCCUCCGAUGGCGGCAGUGCAUCUGAUCCAGUGGGUGCUGUAUGCUUGCGGAUCUGAUCCAUCUGCUGGUCCAGAGCGGAGCAGAGCCGUUCCGUAUCCCAUGGGAUUCCCGGGUCAAACAACACAUUCAUUCAAACUGAAGAAAGGCAAGACAAAAGUGGAGAGACACAUAACUUUACAGUAGUGGUUAUCAUACAAAUCAAAAUCAGUAUUCAUGGUUUUCUUGGCUAGUACUUUGUUUUAAAAAGAUUUUUAAUGAAUUGUAUGAACAUUAUGGGGAUAUUGGCCUUGAGAGUGCAGAUGCCAAGAUAAUUCUGAUUACUAAAAAAUUAUUUCAAUCAUCAUCUUUACAAUUAAAGGUUAAAAUUCACGAUUUGCCCACAUCACCAUAAAUUAUUUUAUCCUUUUGAUGUUUUUAAUAUCUUGCACAUAUGUUGCUUUACUCCCUGCAUGGCCAACUACGUAUACUUCUUCUGGUAGAUCACAAGUUAUAAAACUGAGCGACGACAGUUUAAUGAGUGGUUAGACAGUUCAAAUGUUUAGCUGAAUAGUAACCUGAAGAUGUAAGAGCUCCAUUGUUUUUGGAUCGAUGUCUGAUACUUUCUCUCAGCCUAUCCUCUGUUGAAAGACUUGUGGCCUAGUGUCAGGACCACUACAAUGAAGUCAUGGUAUAGCUGUAAGCAAAUUUGAAGCUAGAUAUCAGUAUUUCAAUUUUCUGAAAAGACGGUUACCAUCAAGACUUGUGUAAUGCCACAGCCCUCAGAGAAAUCACAGAUAGUAUUUCACUUAGUAAACACACUUUUUUACACAUCAGCAAAGAAAAAGAGACUUAUAAAUACAAAACACACCAUUAAAGAGAUUUACAGCUGCUCUUUAGUGUGAAAUUGUUCAAAUGUGAUCAAUAAGUUGCAAUGUGGAGAGGCGUUCAACAUGUAUGAUAAAAUGUCAUGUGUUUAUUUCGCGUUUCAUUUUCUAAAUAAUAGAUCCAUGAUCGAAAAAGCUGUAAACAUCCAUCACAGAUGUCUUUCAUGGCCAAGAAACCCUUUUUUUUAAGCAUUAUUUUUGCAUGCUGUAAAUCUCGGCCGCUCAGAUUUUCAUUCAGCUGUCUGCAGGAGGAUAAAAGCCUCUUUCUUGCAGCUACAGCACAUUUGCCCUUCACAGGAAAAAUGCUUUAAAAUGAAUUUGCCUGUGAUAAAUCCUGUCCUGUGUUGUCUGUUGCAGAAAAACACAAGGUAUUUUCUAAAAUUUCAUUCUCCAGCUCAUGAUAUCUCAGUCAGCAUUACAAACUUCAACCAAAAAGAAACAAGAGGCAUGACACUGUAAUGAUCUGUGUGUGUUUGAGUGUGUGUGUGUGUGUGUGUGUGUGUGUGUGUGUGAGUUUCCUCCACCGUGUCCUUCCCUCCUCUGCCCCCUCCCCUCCUCUCUCUGGUGGAUGGUCCUUGUUUAGACUUUGUUAUUGUUUCUUUAUGUAACGCUGCUGAGCCAGAGAAAGAAUGGGCCCGGUGUACACCACAACAAUGCUGUGAUGGAUGAGUGUGGCUGCUCUAAUUAUAUGAGGACCAACAGGUAACCGAGCGCACAGACAGAGAGCGGCGGCCUGCUGGGGGAUGAUAGUGCAGAUCUGUUCGCCUCUGUUUUGUUUCGUUUUGUUCUGCUGCGAGGGCCGGCACGGGCGCCGAUACUGUGGCGAACACACAUACACAAAAGAAGGCAUUGAGAGUUGCUGAGAGUCGCAGCAUGCAGACACACACAUACACACAUUUGCUUGUGUGUCAUUGCUAAAGUAUACAGCAAAGGACGUGUUUGCACUCUGUUAAACACUUCCUCGUGCAGCUCGCUUUGCAUUCUGCUUAGGAAAUAUUGUUCCUGAUAAACAGUCCUGCCAAUAAAGUGAGUGAAUUGACUGUGAGAACAGAGGAAAGACGCCACUUCAAGGUUUUCCCACUUGAGCGUAUUACAGAAUUAUUGUCGCAGACGAUAGCUAACAGAGACAGACAGAUUGAGGUCGUUACACAAGAGAGGCAGAUGAGAGAGAGAAACAGAAACAAGAUGAAAAGGCAAUGUGGCGGGGGGUGCAUCCCUGCUGUUUCAAUGCUGUGUCGCAGUGAGAAAAAAAAAAAGAGGACGACAGGAAGAAGAGAAAGGGGAAUCUUGCGAGAGGAAAGAGGGAGUGAAGGGUGGGAUUCAGAGGAGUGAGACAAACUGCUUUAAAUGUUUGGGACCCAAAAGUUGUAGCGAGAAGACUGGGGCAAACCGAGAAAAAACGGUGUAAGAAAAAUGCAGAGGGAAGAGAUGUGAAGUGGUUUGUUUAUCUUGAAAUAAGAGAAGGAAAGAUAAAAAUUGCUAGUGUCACAGCAAAAUGCCCAAGAUGAACUCUGCACAGGGAGAACGUCUAUGAGUGUUUCUUGUUUUGAAUAGAGUUCUGUAGAACUGUGCUGCUCUGUGCUACUGCUGCUGCUGCUUUUUAGUUUUUUCACAAAACACAGAAACAUGUAAGGAAAGACCUUUUAACCGGGCCAAGUAAUGCUUCUGAAACGAUCAGUAUCAGCCAACAUCUGGGCUCAUAAGGCCGAUUCAGAAAAGAUAAAACGUCUGCAAUAACAAGACCAUCAUGAUUGGCACUCACGAUUUACACUGUGAUCUGCCAUUUUUAGAUCCAGUGGCUUUUAGAUCUGAGGUAAGGAAAGCUCCGGUUUCUCUGUGUCGAGAAAUGGAGGAAAAAAAGAGAAAAGGGGCAAAUGUAGACAAAGACGCAGUUACUGCCAGAUUGUAGCCCACAUAUUAGAAGAUAUGAGCAAAUAUGUGAAGCCACUGGGUAAAUUUCCACUCCGAAAAGAUUAGAGACAAUGCAAGAAUAAAAAUCCAGCAAUGCCAAAAGAGUCUAAGGGAAGUGCUUACUUCCCCCAAACAGUGCGAGAACUCGAGAUAGGGUUGGGGGACAUAGCCUCAAAUCAAUAUCACAAUAUAUUGAACAAGAAUAAAUGGACGAUAACUACUCUACAAGCUGCUCACUCACUCCCACAUUAACUUCAUCUACUUCAACCGCUGCUCCAGCCACUACAACUUUUGAACUGUCCUCCAUCUCCUCGCCUGUCUUUCCCUCUUUGUUACAGACUGGAUGGGGUGGAGUCACGUCUCUGACGAAGGACAGCGUCUUAAAGGGACAUGAGACCAUAGCCUACCUACACACAUCUAAAACAAGCUUUUAUUUGUUUGUUGACACAGAAUAUAUUGACAUGGGCAAAAUGACGUUGGUCAUUGUCGCAAAUUUUGGUAUUAGUAAAUUUUCGGUUUAUCGCCCAGCCCUAACUGGAGAUGUAUCACUGACUAUAGAUCUAGAAAGGAUUCAGAACUUUUGAAAUAUUUUUAUUGUAGUAGACACAAAAUGAGCUAGAACCUGCCAUCCACCUCUAGGGGGUUGUAGUUUUGUGUAAAGGAUACUGUCAUAAUGCUAAAAUACUCUACUACCUGGAUGUAGUGAGCUUGCAUUACUGCUAUCACACUGUGCUCUCCUACCGCACCCGAGCUGGCUGUGACCCCAAAGUCAUUGAAGUUCAGCUGUUUUUUAGCCCAUCCUCCCCC